GACGCGUAAGCACACUCAGGGUCGCGAAAAGCUGUUGGUGAGAUGCUGCCGACAGUGGAUCAGGUGUAUGGAAAUUUCUAGGGCGGAAUGAGCAAUUGUGUCUACCGCGCUAGCAACCCGAUUACGCACCCCAAGAGAGCACGAAAUGUCGAGGCAGAAUUAUGAAACUGUUGGAACAUCACAAUCAGUCGCCGCAGUGUUGGUGUUAGUCUCGCAACUCUCGCCUUCGGGAUGGCAACAGAGCAGUGGAUAGGCGAAUGGAGCUUUCAGGUGGUGCAUGUAUGAGGAACCCUAAACCAACGCAUUACAAUGUUUGUAUACUUCGUCUCAGUGGUCGUUCGUUUCCACCAUUGAAGGGAACAAAUGGAGGAAGCCCCCAAAGCGUCUUGACUCUAUCGUCGCGUAGAGAGUUUAAGUAGAGGUAGAUGGUGACAAGCAAAAACAUUCGUUGCUACAGUCUGAGCAGUCUCGGAAAAUGUUAGCUGGCAGGCAGGGGUGCAUGUGUGAUACAACAAUGCCUUUCAGGAUAACCUUCAACUGGCAGAUGUACGCUGCAGACAGGUCUGAUGUUAUGGCAACUCCAUACCGUUACCUGCAAAGAUCUUCCAGUAGUAUAGUGACUCCUCGUGAAGCGAUAUGCAUACAUGAGGCCUUUCGCGAUCGUGUGACACGUUGAGUGUGUCGUUGGUUUUCGUUAUCUACGGACAGCUAACUUCAUGUUGGAAAUCCCACAUAUAUGUGGAAGCGCGGGUGGAACAGCUGUGAGACGUGCUGGUGAACAGGGACAUUUGUGCGUAGUACCGGGCAUUCCGAGGUAGCAGGAAAACGAAAAACAGUGUAGGGGACAUUGUACUUGUUUGAUGGAUGGUGGCUGAGAAUGUCGUCAUCACUUGUGGGUUUUAGAGUAUUUGACAAAAAACAGUGACUCAAGAUGCUCAAAGGCAAACCAUAGUUCUGCGUAAGUGCCGACUGGUGAUUCGCAAAUGUUCGGGCAACGUAGUAGCUGGGUGCCGUUUCGAGCCACGUACAUGAGCUGAAAUCAUGUAGACGUCGUGGAUCACUGAUAUGUCGAGUAUUAUGUGCGAUGACAGUGCAAGAUGCAACGUUUAACCGCCCAAAUCGUUCACGUGAAGGGUGCAGAAGACGUCCGGAGGGAACCUGUCGGGGACACGUUCCAUUGUGCCGGUGGUGGUUGUCCUCGGGGCGUAGUAUUAUCGUGGGCCCAUGCUCAACCUAUCCACACAAGGGGGACAUGCAAGGGCACAUAUAAGUGAUGCGUCCAAAACGGCAAGGGGGGGGGUCACGGGCGUCAGUGCGCAGGAAAACGGGUGCCCUGCGCUGCCGUCCAGAGUGGUGGAUCGUCAUUCGUUGUUUCUGGUGUGUUAGCUGCACUCAUGCGAUGUUUCCUACGACUGCCCUGUCUAUUACAGAACUCAGACUGCUCCGGACAGUGGCGAACCUGCCAAGGAUUUCCAGUCACAUGAAAGCCAAGAGGAGCAGUAGCCGUUGCAGGCAGAUGAAGGAAUCAAUUUUUUUUAUGGCUCGCUCUCUCGCUGCCCAUGAACCGGGAGGUAGUUAGGUUGAAACAUACCCGACGAGCAACUAGAAGUUUGGUUCUUCUACCCUGUAUGUGGCUGGGGCACGGGACAGAUGUUCUUCGCUUUUUUUCUUGUGACUAUUUGACAUUACAUAAUAAUGCCCCUGUGUUUGAUGGGUUUCUUUCAAUGUGAUACAUUUGUUUGCAAGGAGACGCCGAUCGCAGUUAGUCGGGCUCCAGUACCCUAUAUUCGGUCUUAUCAGGGGAGUACGAUAAAUAUGACACACCAUUAAACGUGUCUUUCACUGAAUAUCGCUUAAAGGAGUUCGUGGUUUCCUUUCGUAGUUCAGUCCUGCAGAAUCUGGAAGGGAAUCAUGGAGUCGACGAUAAUUUAUUUAGUUGACGUGGUGCGUAACGUUGCUUUGCCCGACCUCGUAAACGUGAAUAGUAGCUACAAUGACAUGAGUGCACAGUUGAAACCGUGCCACUUGGUUGGUUUCUAUUCCUCGCUCCCUCAUAGUUAUGACUGUUUGCGUUGCGAGGUACUGCAUAUUUCAUCAUGUAGCCUUUAUUUUUGUUUUUACUUCAGUAUGUUGCUGAGGAGUUCACUGUGUUUUCCAUAACAUGUGCAACGUCGUACCACUUUGUCGCCUGGUGAUGAACUGGCAACCGGGGACAGAUGAUACCACAGGCAGCAGUAUUUGGCAGUCCUUGGGAGGACGAGGUGUAGAUUAUCACUAGUCCCCUUUGUGAUUAUGGUGACACGAGAUUUUCCCCUCUUUGAAGCUCUGAGUAUAGCGUGAUUUGCGGGGUGUGUCUCUGGUUGCUGAAGAUGGGUUGUCCAUUCGAACGUGAAGCUCGAUAAUGUUUGGCGUUAUGAAGCUUGAAAAAAAGAAACAUAACUCCUCAUUAUGUCAUGCGCAAGGAUUGUUCUGCAACCUGUGUGCAAGGGACGGAUUGUUGCAGGACAUGAUGUACGACAUUGUUUUUCGUAUUCCAUGUCUAAAGGCGUGUCAUUUGAGUCACAUUCCUGCACCAAACCUCCAAUGACAGGCGCUGUGCUUUGGAGAGUACGCAAGGAUUUGAAUCGCUCUACCUGUUGGUAGAUAUCUUUUCUUGUUUUCCGUUUUGUCACAGCACCGUAUCUGUCUCCCGGGCAGCGCAAACAAGCAUCAGCUUUCUGCUAGUAUGAUGUUUUCUGGCAUAGGCUUUCAAAGAUAUGGUAAUGGUAAACUGCACGAUGAGACGUUGCUCCCUAGAGGAAGUAUGCAAACCCAUACAGCAGCCAAAGCGUUCGCAAAUAAAUUUCAUUGCAUGACAAGCCCCACGCUCGUCAGCGCAUUUGCCGAAUAUUCUUGGGAGAGUCCCAUUUUUUGAUGUUUUCUGGAAACACGUGCUACCUCUUAACACCCCAGCAAGUUUUCUUACUGAAACCAAGGGAGCGAGAAGCCUUGCAGCGGAAUGCGGCUUGCCAUAUCUACUCGAGGGUCGUUGCGAGGAAGGGGAUUGUGCUGUGAGAGUAGCGGCAGAGAUGUGGCCUGUGGUGAUGUUUCCCCUCUCAACGGUAGGUUGGUCGAUGUAAUGUUUUUGCAGCGCGGGGAAACACUGCUGGUGAGGCAAUGUGAUUGAAGGCGAUCUUACAUCGACGUCAGUAAUUCCUGACAAGUUGGGAACGCUUUUAAAAAGAUGCGGGCGUCUUCACGCCGUUGCUGUCUCCCCUGCUCUAUCGUUUCCAUGCUCAGCCUGAGGAU
rnacentral:lncRNA from 1 species